AUUUUAGAGAUUUAUAAAAGGAAUAAAAUAGUGCCGAAUAAAAUUAAUAUGGACGCUAAAUCCCAUGACGCAUGGGCGUAUCCUAUUGUGUCGACCAUAUUUUAUGACACAUUAAGCCAUUCAAUUGUUGUUCCAUUGUCGGUCAUACUAAUACCAUAUUUUAAUGCACGUUUGCCUCCAUACCUGCAUUAUGCUUCAAUUGGUGUUUCUAUUGCUAAGGAAAUUCUGCGUUCAAUAACGAAAAACUUUGAUGAUAAAGCUAUGCGUUGUGUGCCGCAUUCUGUAAACAUAUUUUCGAACUUCAGCCGAAUGGAUCUAUUAAUUCAUUCUGGAGGGAUGCAGAUUUCAUACCAUUCAAUGCUUUCACUCACUGGCCCUAUCAAAGGAAUGCCUCGUCUCCCAGAAUUAAAUUUGAAACCAACACAAAUUUUUUGGUGGUGACUGCCCAA